UACGUAGGGGGCAAGCGUUGUCCGGAAUCAUUGGGCGUAAAGAGCGCGUAGGCGGCCCUGUAAGUCCGCUGUGAAAGUCAAGGGCUCAACCCUUGAAUGCCGGUGGAUACUGCAGGGCUAGAGUCCGGAAGAGGCGAGUGGAAUUCCUGGUGUAGCGGUGAAAUGCGCAGAUAUCAGGAGGAACACCGAUGGCGAAGGCAGCUCGCUGGGACGUGACUGACGCUGAGACGCGAAAGCGUGGGGAGCGAACAGG
rnacentral:rRNA from 1 species